AUGAAAGGAAAAUCCUGCCGAGGCAAUCGUAUUUGUUUUGGUAGAUAUGCUCUUCAAGCACUUGAACCCGCUUGGAUCACGGCGAGACAGAUAGAAGCAGGACGAAGAGCAAUAACACGAUAUGCACGUCGUGGUGGAAAAAUAUGGGUACGUAUAUUUCCCGACAAACCGGUUACACUAAGACCCACGGAAACACGUAUGGGCUCGGGAAAGGGGUCCCCCGAAUAUUGGGUAUCCGUUGUUAAACCUGGUCGUAUACUUUAUGAAAUGGGGGGAGUAUCUGAAACUGUAGCUAGAGCAGCUAUCUCCAUAGCUGCCAGUAAAAUGCCCAUACGAAGUCAAUUUAUUCGAUUAGAGAUAUAG
rnacentral:rRNA from 1 species